UGAACGCUGGCGGCGUGCCUACUACAUGCAAAUCGAGCGAACAGACGCGGAGCUUGCUCCUCUGACGUUAGCGGCGGACGGGUGAGUAACACGUGGAUAACCUACCUAUAAGACUGGGAUAACUUCGGGAAACCGGAGCUAAUACCGGAUAAUAUAUUGAACCGCAUGGUUCAAUAGUGAAAGACGGUUUUGCUGUCACUUAUAGAUGGAUCCGCGCCGCAUUAGCUAGUUGGUAAGGUAACGGCUUACCAAGGCAACGAUGCGUAGCCGACCUGAGAGGGUGAUCGGCCACACUGGAACUGAGACACGGUCCAGACUCCUACGGGGGGCAGCAGUAGGGAAUCUUCCGCAAUGGGCGAAAGCUUGACGGAGCAACGCCGCGUGAGUGAUGAAGGUCUUCGGAUCGUAAAACUCUGUUAUUAGGGAAGAACAAAUGUGUAAGUAACUAUGCACGUCUUGACGGUACCUAAUCAGAAAGCCACGGCUAACUACGUG
rnacentral:rRNA from 1 species